rnacentral:misc_RNA from 1 species
UUACGGAGGUUCACGUUUUGGCCUUUUAGUAUGUUGUUAUUCUUUAAUUGCAUUAGAAAAAACACCUAAUUCAGGAUUUAAUAUUGCCAACACAUGCUAUAAAGUUUGGCUCUUAACAAAGCUGAAUGUAGGAAAAAGGAUUUAUUUAGCAUACUCAAAUAGCUUGUAUUGGGGCCUAGUUGAGCUGAGUUAUGAUCGCUCAAACUCUUGUAUGUUGGUGGCUG